AUACGUAGGGUGCGAGCGUUAAUCGGAAUUACUGGGCGUAAAGCGUGCGCAGGUGGUUUUGUAAGUCAGAUGUGAAAUCCCCGGGCUUAACCUGGGAACUGCGUUUGAAACUGCAAGGCUAGAGUGUGGCAGAGGGGGGUGGAAUUCCGCGUGUAGCAGUGAAAUGCGUAGAUAUGUGGAGGAACACCGAUGGCGAAGGCAGCCCCCUGGGUCAACACUGACGCUCAGGCACGAAAGCAUGGGGAGCAAACAGGAUUAGAUACCCGGGUAGUCC
rnacentral:rRNA from 1 species